rnacentral:rRNA from 1 species
ACUCCUACGGGAGGGCAGCAGUGGGGGAAGUCUUAGACAAUGGGCGCAAGCCUGAUCUAGCCAUGCCGCGUGAGUGAUGAAGGCCUUAGGGUCGUAAAGCUCUUUCGCCAGGGAUGAUAAUGACAGUACCUGGUAAAGAAACCCCGGCUAACUCCGUGCCAGCAGCCGCGGUAAUACGGAGGGGGUUAGCGUUGUUCGGAAUUACUGGGGCGUAAAGCGCGCGUAGGCGGAUUAGUCAGUUAGAGGUGAAAUCCCAGGGCUCAACCCUGGAACUGCCUUUAAUACUGCUAGUCUUGAGUUCGAGAGAGGUGAGUGGAAUUCCGAGUGUAGAGGUGAAAUUCGUAGAUAUUCGGAGGAACACCAGUGGCGAAGGCGGCUCACUGGCUCGAUACUGACGCUGAGGUGCGAAAGUGUGGGGAGCAAACAGGAUUAGAUACCCUGGUAGCGACUGA